ACCUCUCGUGAUCGUUUUUGAACUGCUGGUUAUUCCUAGAGCUAAUACAUGCACCAAAGCUCCGAUUUUCUGACGAGCGCAUCUAUUAGAUUAAAACCAAUCGGGUUUCGGCCCGUUAAUUGGUGACUCUGAAUAACUAUAGCUGAUCGCAUGGUCUCGAACCGGCGACGUGUCUAUCAAGUGUCUGCCUUAUCAACUGUCGAUGGUAGUUUAUGUGCCUACCAUGGUUGUAACGGGUAACGGAGAAUAAGGGUUCGACUCCGGAGAGGGAGCCUGAGAAAUGGCUACCACAUCCAAGGAAGGCAGCAGGCGCGCAAAUUACCCACUCUCGGCAUGAGGAGGUAGUGACGAAAAAUAACGAGACCGUUCUCUAUGAGGCCGGUUAUCGGAAUGGGUACAAUUUAACCCGUUAACGAGGAACUAUGAGAGGGCAAGUCUGGUGCCAGCAGCCGCGGUAAUUCCAGCUCUCAAAGUGUAUAUCGUCAUUGCUGCGGUUAAAAAGCUCGUAGUUGGAUCUGCGCCUCAGGAUCUGGUCCGCCCACUGGGCGAGAACUGGGCUCCUGGGCUAGUUCUGCUGGUUUUCCCUACGUUGCCUUCAUCGGUCGCGUAGGGUGGCUAGCGAGUUUACUUUGAAAAAAUUAGAGUGCUUAACGCGGGCUUAUGUCUGAAUACUCGUGCAUGGAAUAAUAGAAUAGGAUCUCGGUUCUAUUUUGUUGGUUUUCUGAUCUGAGAUAAUGGUUAAGAGGGACGGACGGGGGCAUUCGUAUCGCUGCGUGAGAGGUGAAAUUCUUGGACCGUAGCGAGACGUCCGACUGCGAAAGCAUUUGCCAAGAAUGUCUUCAUUAAUCAAGAACGAAAGUCAGAGGUUCGAAGGCGAUCAGAUAUCCGCCUAGUUCUGACGUAAACGAUACAACUAGCGUUCCGUCGCGGCGUAAAUAUGCUUGCGGGUAGCUUCCCGGAACGAAAGUCUUUCGGUUCGGGGGAAGUAUGGUUGCCAAAGCUGAAACUUAAAGAAAUUGACGGAAGGGCACCACAGGAGUGGAGCUGCGGCUUAAUUUGACUCAACACGGGAAAACUCACCUGGCCGGACACCGUAAGGAUUGACAGAUUGAGAGCUCUUUCUUGAUUCGGUGGUUGGUGGCAUGGCCGUUCUUAGUUGGUGGAGUGAUUUUGUCUGGUUAUUCCGAUAACGAGCGAGACUCUAGCCUAUUAAAUAGUCAUCGGAUAAACAAGUCCGGAAGACUUCUUAGAGGGACAAGCGGUAUACAGCCGCAUGAAGUUGAGCAAUAACAGGUCUGUGAUGCCCUUAGAUGUCCAGGGCUGCAGGCGCGCUACACUGGAGGAAUCAGCGUGCUGUAACCAUUGCCGAAAGGUAUUGGUACCCUUGAAAAUCUCCGUGAUCGGGAUCGGGAAUUGCAAUUAUUUCCUUGAACGAGGAAUUCCUAGUAAGUGUGAGUCAUCAGCUCACGUUGAUUACGUCCCUGCCUUUGUACACACCGCCCGUCGCUGCCCGGGACUGAGCCGUUUCGAGAAAAGCGGGGACUGCUGUUUCGAGACCUUUCGAGGUGGAGAUUCUUUGGUGGAAACCGCCUUAAUCGCAGUGGCUUGAAACCGGGCNNNNNNNNNNNNNNNNNNNNNNNNNNNNNNN
rnacentral:rRNA from 1 species